GUUCACUUGGGUAGCACACAUAGCAAAACUGGAACAAUGCAGAGAAGAUGAACACAGCUUUUGCAUAACGAUGGCAUGCAAAUUAGUGAAGUGGUACAAACUCUG